rnacentral:misc_RNA from 1 species
GGAGGUAAAAGUCGUAACAAGGUUUCCGUAGGUGAACCUGCGGAAGGAUCAUUACAGAGUUCAUGCCCUCACGGGUAGAUCUCCCACCCUUGAAUAUUUAUACCUUAGUUGCUUUGGCAGGCCGUGGAAACACCAUGGGCUCCGGCUUAUGCGUGCCUGCCAGAGGAAACAAACUCUGUUUUUAGUGAUGUCUGAGUACUAUAUAAUAGUUAAAACUUUCAACAACGGACCUCUUGGUUCUG